rnacentral:rRNA from 1 species
CCUACGGGAGGCUGCAGUGAGGAAUAUUGGUCAAUGGGCGCGAGCCUGAACCAGCCAAGUAGCGUGAAGGAUGACUGCCCUACGGGUUGUAAACUUCUUUUAUAAAGGAAUAAAGUGAGGCACGUGUGCCUUUUUGUAUGUACUUUAUGAAUAAGGGUCGGCUAACUCCGUGCCAGCAGCCGCGGUAAUACGGAGGAUCCGAGCGUUAUCCGGAGUUUUUGGGUUUAAAGGGAGCGUAGAUGGGUUGUUAAGUCAGUUGUGAAAGUUUGCGGCUCAACCGUAAAAAUGCAAUUGAUACUGGCAGCCUUGAGUACAGGUGAGGUAAGCGGAAUUCGUGGUGUAGCGGUGAAAUGCUUAGAUAUCACGAAGAACACCAAUUGCGAAGGCAGCCUACUAAACUGCAACUGACAUUGAUGCUCGAAAGUGUGGGUAUCAAACAGGAUUAGAUACCCCGGUAGUC